rnacentral:antisense_RNA from 1 species
ACUUUUAACUUGGGUCAUUUAAGUGCAAGUGCCUUGUUUUCGCCAUUUUGCCAAGGACAUGGGGCUCAAGUUUGGGUGUGCACCUGGCUUGCAGCAGAACUGGCUGGGAUGGCUUCAUAACUUCCCUUCCAACAAUAUAACAAUAUGCUUCUGUAAAUUUUCACACCGAAUUGGACAAGAAUCAGAAUAUCCUGUUUUGAACAUCUGCACAGAUUGACAAACAAAAAUGGAACAUCAAGACUGACUGGAAAUGGUGAUGUGAAAUUCAUUAAAUGCUCUUGAGGUGCCAAGACUGAGGCUCAGAGAAAUUAAAUAACAUGCCAAAGGUCACAGUGUCUAGUGGAGCUGGGGCCAAAUUCAGGUUCACGUGGUGAUAAAGCUUUUUUUGUGCCAUCACCCUG